rnacentral:lncRNA from 1 species
AGCCUUUAGCCCCUGUAAGAUAUGCCGUUCUGCUUCCAACGUGUAUUUUUCAGGACAGCAUCUUGGAAGAGGCACAUGAGAACAAGCAUCCCACCUUCCAACAGGAGGCUUUGAAGGGAAGCAGGUGGAACUGCAGACCUCCCAUCUUGUUACCUGCGUACUGCCAGCCUCCUUGCCAGCUCCCUCCACCUCUUCUCAUCGUGGUCUGGUUGUGGUUCCCUGUUGCACCUGCUAGCAUCACCUGCUAUCACCACAAUUGUGAAAUUGAGCCUGGAGGUUCUAGCCAUGUGGGCAUCACUGCCCUCUCACUGCUCUCCAGCCCCAGAUGGUCCUCUCGGCCCACCUUCCACCAUACCUCUCACUCAGCUGGGAAAGCACCUCUCCUCAUUGGGAUCAUGAUUUCUUCUGUGUUCCCAGGAAAGGGUGACAUACAGCUCCCAACAGAGCUUCUCCACAGAGCUCCCAAAUGAUACAACUCCUGCUAGGAAGGCUGGUUCUGCUUACAACUCACCCCCAGAGAACAGGGAACAGUUUUCUUGGGACUUUCAAGUCGUGUUUGUCAGUAUUGAGUCAAAUUUCUCUUUUUUGCCAUAGUCCUCCAGGAUCCCAAGGUGCUUCCCUAAGCCUAAAGCAAGCCCUUUUGUCCUGGUGUCCUGGGCGCUGAUUCCCAGACUUUAGAGACCUUCAUCAUUUCUCGCAGGGGGCCUGGGACUGAUGAAUUUAGAAGAGGACAGGAAUAGGGAGGGCACUAAUGAAAUCUGUGUGAUUCUGUAGACCAUUCAGGCAUUCAAGGGAUGAGGUAAUGAAGGGGACCAUGCAAGAGAGGCUCAGCCCUGCCAAGAAUAAGUCAAGAAGGCCCAAGCUGUGAAAAAAAUAUCUGAAAGACUCUAGGCUUCACCAAGGACAUAGAGGGGUAGCCCCACUCCCUGGGGAAGGAGAGAGUGGAGCUGGUGACGCCCAGAAGCCAUGUGCUGGGUUCCUCCUGGGUGUCUGUCUUUUUCAUUCAAAAGGGUGGUGAGAAUGAGGCCUGAGUGAGGGCUGAAGAGCCAGAUGGACUUUGCACUGUCAUUUCCCAACCCUGUGACCUUUUGGCAACUGACUUAACCUCUCUGUUUCCUCGACUAUGAAAGUAGGGAUGGUAACCUGCUAUGGUUAGUAUAAGGAUUGAAGGAGAUAAAGUUAGUGAAAAGACCCUGACCCUAAGUAGAUGGUUAAUAAAUGAUAGCCUCUGUGUGUGUGUGUGUGUGUG